rnacentral:rRNA from 1 species
AUGGCUGGACCUGACGAGGCCAAGAUGGCGGCAAUGGUGCGCUCGUGGCCGUGGGUCGGCAUGCUGAUGCCGAUGGUGCUCCGCCACCUCCGCAAGUCGGCGUGGCUCUACCUGAUGCCCAUGGUGGCGGCGUGCGUGCCGAUCGGGGUGCUGAGGGCCUACUUCGAGCGGAGCCUCCGGCGGUGCGUCCGGCGGCUGCUCCCGUUCUUCGACCCGUUCAUCACCGUCGACAUCGCCAGCCUGCGCGAGGACUACAUGGACAAGAUCAAGUCCAGCGACGCCUACGAGGAGGUCAAGGCGCACCUGAGCGCCGCGUGCUCGCGGGAGGCGCGCCACUUCCGGGCCGAGGGCGCCGACGAGGGCACCGGCUUCGUGCUCAGCAUGCGGGAGGGGCAGGACGAGGUGGCCGACGAGUUCCGGGGCGUCACCAUCUGGUGGUCCGCUCUCAAGGAGGACGACUACGACAUGCGGAGGUGCUGCCGCCUCACCUUCCACCAGAGGCACAGGAAGCUCAUCGUCGACGAGUACCUCCCGCACGUGCGACGGUGCGGGCGCGCUGCCAUGUCCGGCACCCGCCGCCGCCGCCUCUACACCAACAAGACCAACCUCAGCUACUCUGCUAGCAGGAAAGACGUGUGGAGCUACAUCGACUUUCACCAUCCGACGACGUUCGAAACCCUCGCCAUGCACCCCGACAAGAAGCAGAUGAUCAUCGACGACCUCAACGACUUCCGCAGCAGCGAGGACUACUACCUCCGCAUCGGCAAGGCGUGGAAGCGCGGCUACCUCCUCUACGGCCCGCCGGGAACGGGCAAGUCCACCAUGAUCGCUGCCAUGGCCAACUACCUCAACUACACCGUCUACGACAUCGAGCUGACGACGCUAAAAUCCAACAAUGACCUACGGAAGCUCUUCGUCGAGACGACGGGCAAGUCGAUCAUUGUCAUCGAGGACAUCGACUGCUCCCUCAACCUAACCGGCAGCCGCGCCGCCAUGGCCCAGACAAAGCGAGCGGACGGGGCGCCCAAGAAGGGCAGCGUAGUGACGCUGUCCGGACUGCUCAACUUCAUCGACGGGAUCUGGUCGGCACACAGUGGCGAGUGGAUCAUCGUGUUCACCACCAACCACCUGGACAAGCUCGAUGCCGCGCUAAUCCGGCGCGGGAGGAUGGACUUGCACAUUGAGAUGUCCUACUGUGGGUUCGAGGCAUUCAAGCGAAUAUGGCGAAUCCUAACCAGUUGA